rnacentral:rRNA from 1 species
UGCCAGCAGCCGCGGUAAUACGUAGGGUGCGAGCGUUAAUCGGAAUUACUGGGCGUAAAGGGUGCGCAGGCGGCUCCGCAAGUCAGACGUGAAAUCCCCGGGCUUAACCUGGGAAUGGCGCUUGAAACUACGGGGCUGGAGUAUGGCAGAGGGAGGUGGAAUUCCACGUGUAGCGGUGAAAUGCGUAGAGAUGUGGAGGAACACCGAUGGCGAAGGCAGCCUCCUGGGCCAAUACUGACGCUCAUGCACGAAAGCGUGGGGAGCAAACAGGAUUAGAUACCCUGGUAGUCCACGCCCUAAACGAUGAUGACUAGUUGUUGGAGGAGUUAAAUCCUUUAGUAACGCAGCUAACGCGAGAAGUCAUCCGCCUGGGGAGUACGGUCGCAAGAUUAAAACUCAAAGAAUGACGG